CCUACGGGGGGCAGCAGUGAGGAAUAUUGGUCAAUGGACGAGAGUCUGAACCAGCCAAGUAGCGUGAAGGAUGACUGCCCUAUGGGUUGUAAACUUCUUUUAUAAAGGAAUAAAACGAGGCACGUGUGCCUUUUUGCAUGUACUUUAUGAAUAAGGAUCGGCUAACUCCGUGCCAGUAGCCGCGGUAAUACGGAGGAUCCGAGCGUUAUCCGGAUUUAUUGGGUUUAAAGGGAGCGUAGAUGGGUUGUUAAGUCAGUUGUGAAAGUUUGCGGCUCAAACGUAAAAUUGCAAUUGAUACUGGCAGUGUUGAGGACAGUGGAGGUAGGCGGAAUUCGUGAUGUAGCGGGGAAAUGCUUAGAUAUCACGAAGAACCCCGAUUGCGAAGGCAGCUUACUAAACUGUGACUGACAUUGAUGCUCGAAAGUGUGGGUAUCAAACAGGAUUAGAUACCCUUGUAGUC
rnacentral:rRNA from 1 species